rfam:Oryza barthii chromosome 9, whole genome shotgun sequence.
AAUAAGUACACUUUUACACUGUUUAUGUUCAACAUUUGACCGUUCGUCUUAUUUAAAAUUUUUUUAUGAUUAGUAUUUUUUAUUGAUAUUAUAUGAUAAAACAUAAAUAGUACUUUACGUGUGACUAAAUUUUUUUAUUUUUUUCAUAAAAUUUUUAAAUAAGACAAACGAUCAAACUUUGGACAUGGAUAUCACGGUUGCAUUUAUU